rnacentral:rRNA from 1 species
UACGUAGGGUGCAAGCGUUGUCCGGAAUCAUUGGGCGUAAAGAGCGUGUAGGCGGCCCGGUAAGUCCGCUGUAAAAGUCAAAGGCUCAACCUUUGAAUGUCAGUGGAUACUGCCGGGCUAGAGUCCGGAAGAGGCGAGUGGAACUCCGGGUGUAGCGGUGGAAUGCGUAGAGAUCCGGAAGAACACCAGUGGCGAAGGCGGCCCGCUGGGCAGUGGCUGACGCUGAGGC